UGAACGCUGGCGGUAGGCCUAACACAUGCAAGUCGAACGGCAGCACAGUAAGAGCUUGCUCUUACGGGUGGCGAGUGGCGGACGGGUGAGGAAUACAUCGGAAUCUACUUUUUCGUGGGGGAUAACGUAGGGAAACUUACGCUAAUACCGCAUACGACCUACGGGUGAAAGCAGGGGAUCUUCGGACCUUUCGCGAUUGAAUGAGCCGAUGUCGGAUUAGCUAGUUGGCGGGGUAAAGGCCCACCAAGGCGACGAUCCGUAGCUGGUCUGAGAGGAUGAUCAGCCACACUGGAACUGAGACACGGUCCAGACUCCUACGGGAGGCAGCAGUGGGGAAUAUUGGACAAUGGGCGCAAGCCUGAUCCAGCCAUACCGCGUGGGUGAAGAAGGCCUUCGGGUUGUAAAGCCCUUUUGUUGGGAAAGAAAAGCAGCAGGUUAAUACCCCGCUGUUCUGACGGUACCCAAAGAAUAAGCACCGGCUAACUUCGUG
rnacentral:rRNA from 1 species